rnacentral:misc_RNA from 1 species
AGGAUCAUUACAGAAUGAAAAGUGCUUAACUGCAUUUUUUCUUACACAUGUGUUUUUCUUUUUUUGAAAACUUUGCUUUGGUAGGCCUUCUAUAUGGGGCCUGCCAGAGAUUAAACUCAACCAAAUUUUAUUUAAUGUCAACCGAUUAUUUAAUAGUCAAAACUUUCAACAACGGAUCUCUUGGUUCUCGCAUCGAUGAAGAACGCAGCGAAAUGCGAUAAGUAAUAUGAAUUGCAGAUAUUCGUGAAUCAUCGAAUCUUUGAACGCACAUUGCGCCCUUUGGUAUUCCAAAGGGCAUGCCUGUUUGAGCGUCAUUUCUCCCUCAAACCCUCGGGUUUGGUGUUGAGCGAUACGCUGGGUUUGCUUGAAAGAAAGGCGGAGUAUAAACUAAUGGAUAGGUUUUUUCCACUCAUUGGUACAAACUCCAAAACUUCUUCCAAAUUCGACCUCAAAUCAGGUAGGACUACCC